AGCAGCCGCGGUAAUUCCAGCUCCAAUAGCGUAUAUUAAAGUUGCUGCAGUUAAAAAGCUCGUAGUUGAAUUUCGGGAUCAAUAUGUUGGUCGUGCCUCGGUACGUACUAGCUUAUUGGUUUCUCCCUUCUGACGAACCAUGAUGUCAUUUAUUUGGUGUUAUGGGAAAUCAGGACUGUUACUUUGAAAAAUUAGAGUGUUUAAAGCAGGCUCACGCUUGAAUACAUUAGCAUGGAAUAAUGAAAUAGGACGUUUGAUUCUAUUUUGUUGGUUUCUAGGAUCGACGUAAUGAUUAAUAGGGAUAGUUGGGGGCAUUAGUAUUCAAUUGUCAGAGGUGAAAUUCUUGGAUUUAUUGAGGACUAACUACUGCGAAAGCAUUUGCCAAGGAUGUUUUCAUUAAUCAAGAACGAAAGUUAGGGGAUCGAAGACGAUCAGAUACCGUCGUAGUCU
rnacentral:rRNA from 1 species